AGAUUAAGUUAUUAAGGGCGCACGGUGGAUGCCUUGGCACUAGAAGCCGAUGAAGGACGUUACUAACGACGAUAUGCUUUGGGGAGCUGUAAGUAAGCUUUGAUCCAGAGAUUUCCGAAUGGGGAAACCCAGCAUGAGUUAUGUCAUGUUAUCGAUAUGUGAAUACAUAGCAUAUCAGAAGGCACACCCGGAGAACUGAAACAUCUUAGUACCCGGAGGAAGAGAAAGAAAAUUCGAUUCCCUUAGUAGCGGCGAGCGAAACGGGAAGAGCCCAAACCAACAAGCUUGCUUGUUGGGGUUGUAGGACACUCUAUACGGAGUUACAAAGGACGACAUUAGACGAAUCAUCUGGAAAGAUGAAUCAAAGAAGGUAAUAAUCCUGUAGUCGAAAAUGUUGUCUCUCUUGAGUGGAUCCUGAGUACGACGGAGCACGUGAAAUUCCGUCGGAAUCUGGGAGGACCAUCUCCUAAGGCUAAAUACUCUCUAGUGACCGAUAGUGAACCAGUACCGUGAGGGAAAGGUGAAAAGCACCCCGGAAGGGGAGUGAAAUAGAACCUGAAACCGUGUGCUUACAAGUAGUCAGAGCCCGUUAAUGGGUGAUGGCGUGCCUUUUGUAGAAUGAACCGGCGAGUUACGAUUUGAUGCAAGGUUAAGCAGUAAAUGUGGAGCCGUAGCGAAAGCGAGUCUGAAUAGGGCGUUUAGUAUUUGGUCGUAGACCCGAAACCAGGUGAUCUACCCUUGGUCAGGUUGAAGUUCAGGUAACACUGAAUGGAGGACCGAACCGACUUACGUUGAAAAGUGAGCGGAUGAACUGAGGGUAGCGGAGAAAUUCCAAUCGAACCUGGAGAUAGCUGGUUCUCUCCGAAAUAGCUUUAGGGCUAGCCUCAAGUGAUGAUUAUUGGAGGUAGAGCACUGUUUGGACGAGGGGCCCCUCUCGGGUUACCGAAUUCAGACAAACUCCGAAUGCCAAUUAAUUUAACUUGGGAGUCAGAACAUGGGUGAUAAGGUCCGUGUUCGAAAGGGAAACAGCCCAGACCACCAGCUAAGGUCCCAAAAUAUAUGUUAAGUGGAAAAGGAUGUGGCGUUGCCCAGACAACUAGGAUGUUGGCUUAGAAGCAGCCAUCAUUUAAAGAGUGCGUAAUAGCUCACUAGUCGAGUGACA
rnacentral:rRNA from 1 species